UCCGAGUUGACCCCGGCAGUCUCCUAUGAGUCCCCACCAUCACGUGCUGGCAACAUAGAACGAGGGUUGCGCUCGUUGCGGGACUUAACCCAACAUCUCACGACACGAGCUGACGACAGCCGUGCACCACCUGUGAUCCUGCCCACAAGGGGAAGCCGUGUUUCCACGGCGGUCAGGAACAUGUCAAACCCAGGUAAGGUUCUUCGCGUUGCGUCGAAUUAAAGAACAUGCUCCGCUGCUUGUGCGGGCCCCCGUCAAUUCCUUUGAGUUUUAAUCUUGCGACCGUACUCCCCAGGCGGAAUGCUUAAAGCGUUAGCUGCGCCACUGACAGGCAAGCCUGCCAACGGCUAGCAUUCAUCGUUUACGGCGUGGACUAC
rnacentral:misc_RNA from 1 species